AAGCCAAGUUGAGCCCAGAUGGCCCUCACAGAAUCGCCCGAUCCCAGCCCCUCCACCGGCGACCCAUUCUGCUCACUUCCAUGCGGGCCCCAGCCCGCCACGAAUCCCCGUUCCCAGUCCCGCCUGCUCCGACCUCGCCUUUCUCCAUCUAGGGUUUCUCUCUCCAUUUCCACCCCAUCGGACCGGAGCUUCGCAUGGAGUCAUCGCAGUCUCGGAAGCGGACGCGCCAAGCGUAUGACUGCGCCGCCGCGCUGCCACCAGAGCGAGAAGUGGUAGCGAGGGGUGGCGCGUCGCCUCCAUGGAGGGAGGAUGACCGCGACGGACACUACGUCUUCGAUCUCGGCGAGAACUUGACCCGCCGAUAUAAAAUCUUGAGCAAAAUGGGAGAAGGUACAUUUGGGCGUGUUUUGGAAUGCUGGGACCGUGAAACACGUGAAUAUGUUGCCAUAAAAGUUGUUCGCAGUAUCCGCAAGUACCGUGAUGCUGCAAUGAUUGAGAUAGAUGUGCUCAAUCGCCUUGCAGAAAAUGAGAAAUACAGAUCUCUCUGUGUUCAAAUACAGAGAUGGUUUGACUAUCGUAAUCAUAUAUGCAUUGUUUUUGAGAAGCUUGGGCCAAGCUUGUAUGAUUUUCUAAAGAGAAAUAGAUACCGACCUUUCCCUGUGGAACUUGUGCGGGAGUUUGGACGGCAACUGUUGGAAUCUGUAGCAUAUAUGCAUGACUUGAGGCUUAUCCACACUGAUCUGAAGCCAGAAAACAUACUACUUGUGUCUUCUGAGUAUAUAAAAGUUCCAAGUACAAAGAAGAAUUCACAAGAUGAGAUGCAUUUCAAGUGCUUGCCACAGUCCAGUGCCAUAAAGCUGAUAGAUUUUGGUAGUACCGCCUUUGAUAAUCAGGACCAUAACUCGAUUGUUUCUACGAGGCAUUACAGGGCACCUGAAAUAAUCUUAGGUUUAGGCUGGAGUUUUCCAUGUGAUAUUUGGAGUGUUGGCUGUAUUCUUGUUGAACUAUGCUCUGGGGAAGCAUUGUUUCAGACACAUGAGAAUCUGGAACACCUAGCAAUGAUGGAGAGAGUUUUGGGACCUCUACCAGAGCAUAUGAUACGGAAAUCAAGAAAUAUUUCAGGAGGGCAACACGUUUAAAUUGGCCUGAAGGUGCUGUUUCAAGAGAAAGCAUCAGAGCUGUGAAGAAACUGGAUCGACUAAAGGACUUGGUAUCGAGGAACGCUGGCCAUUCGAAGGCAGAGCUGGCAGACUUGCUAUACAGUAUCCUCCGGUUCGAGCCAUCAGAACGUCUGACAGCGCAAGAAGCUCUGGAGCAUCCAUUCUUCAGGAACCCGACAUGACUUGUUGGACAGGCUUGACUCGUGUAACUCUCUGCUUCAAGAAGGUAUCGAGGAAGCAGGCAGAGCCGUCCAUUGCAAAGCUGAUGGGUAUCUUGCUCCUCUUUUACCAGAGAGUUUGUGUAAGCCUGUCAGUAAGGCUUCUUGCGGUGGUGAUAAAGCUGAUGGCUUUGGUCACCCAAUGUAAUGUACACUAGCAUUUUUUUUUUACCUAGGGAGUUUAGUGCCUGUAUGUUGUUAACCGGGACGCGCUAUGAGCUGCGUCCCAAUGCCCUGGUUCCAUAAUCCAAUUGCAGAUGUUGAAAAUCAAGCA